UCUGGUGUCAGCCGCCGCGGUAAAACCAGCACCUCAAGUGGUCAGGAUGAUUAUUGGGCCUAAAGCAUCCGUAGCCGGCGCUGUAAGUUUUCGGUUAAAUCUGUACGCUCAACGUACAGGCUGCCGGGAAUACUGCAGCGCUAGGGAGUGGGAGAGGUAGACGGUACUCGGUAGGAAGGGGUAAAAUCCUUUGAUCUAUUGAUGACCACCUGUGGCGAAGGCGGUCUACCAGAACACGUCCGACGGUGAGGGAUGAAAGCUGGGGGAGCAAACCGGAUUAGAUACCCGGGUAGUCCCAGCUGUAAACUAUGCAAACUCAGUGAUGCAUUGGCUUGUGGCCAAUGCAGUGCUGCAGGGAAGCCGUUAAGUUUGCCGCCUGGGAAGUACGUACGCAAGUAUGAAACUUAAAGGAAUUGGCGGGGGAGCACCACAAGGGGUGAAGCCUGCGGUUCAAUUGGAGUCAACGCCAGAAAUCUUACCCGGAGAGACAGCAGAAUGAAGGUCAAGCUGAAGACUUUACCAGACAAGCU
rnacentral:rRNA from 2 species